rnacentral:pre_miRNA from 1 species
CUACAAAGGAAAGCGCUUUCUGUUGUCAGAAAGAAGAGAAAGCGCUUCCCUUUUGAGGG